UAUCUAUGUAACAGAAUAGAGAAAUUAUUGAAUUGGCAUUCAGAACACCUGGACUGCAUUGUCCUUACAUGGCUGCACAGAAGGUCACAGGCUCAUCUUUGCUGGAAGAAAGGAAAGGAGGCCCACCAUGGUGGUUCUGAUCAGAUACUAAGCUCAGUUGUUUAUAUGUAAAUGAAGAAGGCCAAUGCUUUCAAAAUGUAAAGAAUACUGAGGAGAUGCCCUUUCAUAAGGAAUAUUGAAGAGGAAAAAGGAGCCAACAAGGGAUAUGGAGAAAGAAUAGUUAAGGGGCUCAUUUUUACAGAUGAGGAACUGAGGCAAACAGGAUUGAGUGAUGUGUCAGGGUCACACAGAUUUGAACUUGUGAAAUGAGUAUCCCUGAUUUCAAGCCCAGUGCUCUAUCCACUGUGCCACCUAUUGGGAUAUACACCAAGCUAGGAUGUACAGGGAGUAGUACCUCUGGUGUGAAGGUAUGUCAAGCCCUUUUCAGACCUGCUUUCCUCCUUUGUUGUCUAACUGCCACCUAGCUCUCACCUGUGGCUCUAGGAAGUUAUAGCAUGUACAGUUUCUAGAUGAUAAUCAACAAUGUUGUUAGGCAGGCCAAACCAGAUUGAAGGAAACUGCCAGGGCUUAAACGCAUCACUUGGUUAUUAUGGAGGUGUCUAUCCCAGGCAUGUGAAGAUUUUCCUAAGCAGAAGGGGCAGAUGAGAACAAUUUGUUUCAAUAACAAUGAAAGAAGCUGAAAGAAGUGUUGUCAGGAGUUUAGAGCUUGAUUAUACAUUGAAGAACCAAGGUCAUCCGUUGCAUCCCUGGUCAUCACUAGGCAUCUUGAUUUUUGUCUUGUUACUGGACUUUGAUGAUUCUAGAAGAGAAUGUGAGGCUGAAAAUUUUGUGUAACUUUGCCUCACUUAAAUCCAAUUUAUAUGUGAGUCAAAAGCCAUCAUCAGUGAUACCAUCGUGGUUCUUUGAGUAUAAAGGAAAACAAUUGACCUAUCUCAUAAGUUUGUGUUAUGAGACUCAGAUGAAAUGACAUAAGUGGUUUGCACAUUUUAAAGUGCUAAAUAAAUGUUAACUAUUUUACUGAUGAGGAAAUUGAACUACAGAUAAGGCUAGUGAUUCUCUAGAUCAUAUAGCAAAUUAGUAGCAAAAGUAUAAAUAGAACUAUGUUCUUUUCAUUACUUUAUGCACCUCUCACUUAAUUUUUCAUUUUUGUUUGAUAUUUCUUACUAUUUUGACUCCCUCCUAUCAUUGACUAAAUGGGUUACUUCUGAUAUUAUUUCUCACUCUUUCUAUUUAUUUUCAUUUGACUCUUUUCUUCCAUGAAAGUCUCCAUCACAUGCUAUUUCCAAAGUUCUAUUACUCUGCUGUAAUUACUACUGAAAAUACUCAUACCUUUAACUUAUAGUCCUUAAUUCAGAGUUCAGAGAGCUUUAGUGUGGGAGAUCAAUGAGAGGCAACAUGCCAGUGAAUUGUGAGACUUUAACAUAAAUCUGUACCUCUCUUUCCUUUUUAAAAGGAAAGUUUCGUUUUGAAUUUGAAAAUCAAUUUUAGUCUUACCCCACCCUUUUAUUGGAUUAACAACAAGGUCUGUGACUUAUAAGGGGGACUUAUGGGCACUCUGGGAGGAUGCCAGAAGUUUUCUGGCUCCCUGGGAUCUCAAAAGUUUCUUGCUUCUUGUCCCACAUGACUCUUGGCAUCUGGAAUACUGGUCUUUUCCUGGACUGAGAUCAAGUCUACCCAAUCAGGAAGAUUCAGAAAAAGAGAUGCUGGGGAGGGGGUAUAAGUUAUGUAUCAAGGAAACUCUAGUAGUUGUUCUGGUCAAACAGUGGGAAUGAAUAAAUACACAAUGUGAGCAGUGACCUUUGGUUAACUGAGGGAGAAAGUGUGUGACCAGCCAUGUUAUUAUGUACCUUUUGU